rnacentral:lncRNA from 1 species
AGGGAUCCUUCCAAUUUUUCUUUCAGGAAUAGAAGCGCCGGUUUCUGCUUAUUAUUCGCUGUUUCUGAUGGCCAAGAGCAAGGGGCAGUCAAGGCCAUUAAUGCAGAACUGGAAUUCAGCGAGGAGCGCCUCUUCUGCAGACUGCCCCCCGCUAGGGCACGGGGAGGGCACCGGUUCCUCUGCGCGGAAAGGAGGGGGAGAAAGUCGCUAAGAGAAAAAUCCGGUGUGGCCCAGAUCUCCGGGUGCACAUUCCCGGGAGAGGAGCGCGCCGUUUCCAGCGCGGUAGGAUUCCGGGCAGCGAGGGUCGGGUUGCUCGGCUCCCCCGGGAUGGGGACCACGCGCUCGGCGCCGCUGCAGCCUCAGGAAACGGGCGGUGGGGACCGUCCUGGGAGGUGGAGGCAAAAGGAGACGGUUGUUCCCGCCCAGUUUCGAACCGCAAGCCCCUAGUGUGUCAGGCGAGCGUGAGGACCCCUAAACUACGGAACCCGCUCGCCCCGCGGGGCUUUAUCUUAAUUUCUGAGAUCGCGUUGACUGCAGGUGCAGCGCUCCGAGCGGCGGCCACCAGCGACCCAGCGCGCGAGCACAACGCGACCCACGAAGGGGGCUCGCGGGAGGCACCAAGAAGCACCGGCGCAUCAGAGCGGAGAACCCGCAGCCGAACCUUGCCGGGGCGCACCCAGCACCGGGGCGGGGGCCAGGACUUCGCUUCCACCGCAUGGGAUGAGCUGUGCAAGGGUAAAUUCAGGAAGAGACCUUUCUUAAACUGA